CACCAUUAGCUUAAGUAAAACUCCCCUCCGUAAUGGCUUGUCAAUAGGUAUGGCAACCUUAAACCUCAAGGCAUUCGACCACCCAAUCACAUCAUCUUCAUCAAAGGAGAUAAAACGACCAAUCAUAUUAGCAAUUAACUUAGCCGUAGACUUAGAAAAACAACUAAACGGGACCCCAUAUGCCCUCACCCAAAAAGAGCAUUCUUGGAAUGUGAUAGAGUUAGCAGUAUCAGACUCUACCAUCUCUCUUAACACAACUAACUGGCCAUCG
rnacentral:misc_RNA from 1 species